rnacentral:rRNA from 1 species
AUGAUUCUCCUAGGGUGGAACUGCCGCGGGAUGCGUCAGUCCCGGGCAGUUAGAGCACUUCUGGAGGUCCAGAGGUGCUACAAACCGGAUGUGCUCUUUCUGUCAGAAGCACAUCUGUCUGACGCAGGGGCAGAGCGGCUGAUGAGGAGGCUAGGGUUCCAGGAGAGGCUGGUUGACCCGAGUGAUGGGAGAGCGGGAGGUUUGCUGAUGAUGUGGAAAUCU